GGCCUGAUAGCACAACUGCGUAGUGCAUCUGCAUCAAGUUGCAAUUGACCCCCUAACUCUGCAUAUGAUCCCGGUUCGAACCCGGGUCAGGCCA